GAGGGUAUAGCUCAGUGGUAGAGGGCAUGCCUAGCAUGCACGAGGUCCUGGGUUCAAUCCCCAGUACCUACG
rfam:Camelus ferus unplaced genomic scaffold scaffold113, whole genome shotgun sequence.